UCCCAAGCCUUCUGGCGAUCCGCGAUAAGUUCUUUGUAGAACUUUAAGAAAAGCAUUUUCCAUUAAAAGAAUGCCUUUUAUGUGAUAAUGCCGGGGAAGGUUUUCCGGUUUAUCCCGGAGGGCUUGUAGCUCAGUUGGUUAGAGCGCGCGCUUGAUAAGCGUGAGGUCGGAGGUUCAAGUCCUCCCAGGCCCACCAAUUAUCCAUCCAUAGAAAAGCGCUUAGAAAGUUUGUUUGUUAACAGGUCAACGUUGUUUUGUAGGACGCCAAUAUUGUCUUGAAAAAGAGCUUUCUUGUAAAGUUUGAGAAAACUUGUUUAUCGCUUUUUGUAAGAUGUGGUGUUUGUCUGCUUUUAAAGCGAUCGAAACUGAAAGUGUUUCAAAGAUAAGAGUCUUGGAACAGAAGAGUCUUGGAAUAGAAAAGAAUAUAAAGUCUAGGUGGUAUUACAUAGUCUAGAGUUAAAUUGUUCAUGAUUGGAACAUCUCAUAUUGAAAUGCUGCGAUAUAAAGGUUUCGAAUAAAUUAUUCCGUUUUGGGGCCGUAGCUCAGCUGGGAGAGCACC
rnacentral:misc_RNA from 1 species